AUACGGAGGAUCCGAGCGUUAUCCGGAUUUAUUGGGUUUAAAGGGUGCGCAGGCGGCCAUUUAAGUCAGCGGUUAAAUCGUGGGGCUCAACCCCAUUCUGCCGUUGAUACUGGGUGGCUUGAUUGCGGUCGAGGUUGGCGGAAUUCGUUGUGUAGCGGUGAAAUGCAUAGAUAUGACGAAGAACACCGAUUGCGUAGGCAGCUGACCAGACCGCAAAUGACGCUCAUGCACGAAAGUGCGGGGAUCGAACAGGAUCAGAUACCCUGGUAGUCCGCACAGUAAACGAUGAAUACUUGUUUUCGGCGAUAUAAUGUCGGAGGCAAAGCGAAAGCGAUAAGUAUUCCACCUGGGGAGUACGCCGGCAACGGUGAAACUCAAAGGAAUUGACGGGG
rnacentral:rRNA from 1 species